AACGAACGCUGGCGGCGCGCCUAACACAUGCAAGUCGAACGAGAAGCUGUAGCAAUACAGUUGUACAGUGGCGAACGGGUGAGGAAUACAUGGGUGACCUACCCUCGAGUGGGGAAUAACCAGCCGAAAGGUUGGCUAAUACCGCGUACGUUUCCCAGUUUACGGAUUGGGAAGGAAAGCGAUGCCGUGGGUAUCGCGCUCAAGGUUGGGCUCAUGUCCUAUCAGCUUGUUGGUGAGGUAACGGCUCACCAAGGCAACGACGGGUAGCUGGUCUGAGAGGACGAUCAGCCACACUGGCACUGCGACACGGGCCAGACUCCUACGGGAGGCAGCAGUGAGGAAUAUUGCGCAAUGGGCGAAAGCCUGACGCAGCGACGCCGCGUGGGGGA
rnacentral:rRNA from 1 species